GGCCCCAUAGUCUAGCGGUUAGGACGUUGGGUUCUCAUCCCAAAAACCCGGGUUCGAUUCCCGGUGGGGUCA
rnacentral:tRNA from 1 species